rnacentral:rRNA from 1 species
AUGAUGGUGGGGUCCGACCAGAUCAGCGAAUUCUGCAGGGCGCUCGGGGGCGACACGCCGAUACGCAGCGUGCUGGUCGCCAACAAUGGGAUGGCCGCCGUCAAGUUCAUGCGCAGCAUCCGCGCCUGGGCCUCCGAGACCUUUGGCACCGACAAGGCCGUCCUCCUGGUGGCCAUGGCUACCCCGGAGGAUCUCCGGGCCAAUGCGGAGCACGUGCGGAUCGCCGACCAGUUCCUGGAGGUCCCUGGUGGAACCAAUAACAACAAUUAUGCAAAUGUGCAGCUCAUUGUCGAGAUAGCAGAGAGGACCCGGGUUUCUGCAGUUUGGCCUGGCUGGGGUCAUGCCUCUGAGGACCCAGAGCUUCCGGACGCGCUGGAGGACCUUGUAAAUCUAUUUUUGAUAUUAAUAUGGAGGUUUACGGGAACUAACUUUUGA